rnacentral:rRNA from 1 species
UACGUAGGGGGCAAGCGUUGUCCGGAAUCAUUGGGCGUAAAGCGCGCGUAGGCGGCCCGGUAAGUCCGCUGUAAAAAGUCAAAGGCUCAACCUUUGAAUGCCGGUGGAUACUGUCGGGCUAGAGUCCGGAAGAGGCGAGUGGAAUUCCUGGUGUAGCGGUGAAAUGCGCAGAUAUCAGGAAGAACACCCGUGGCGAAGGCGGCUCUCUGGGACGGUACUGACGCUGAGACGCGAAAGCGUGGGGAGCGAACAGGGAU